CAGAUUGCAAAAGGCGAACCACCCGCAUAUGUAGACAGUGUCUUUCGGGACUAUGGACAUAAACGCGCUCGUAAUAAACGGAUCGGACCCGGGGGCGGUACCCGGCGGCUCCACCAAAUAUCCUUUCGUUUGGGGGAUCAUGGGGCCGAAACAGGAUCGACGGACGUCUAAAGGGGUUAGCUUUGUCUCGGCUGUCUGCCACCGUUACCGGCGAAAACAGUACAAUUGCAAACGACAAUCGUGCUCCGGUUGCUAUGGCUGCGUAAGCAGUCCUAGUCGAACCGACUUUAAGCCCUUGCGCCUAGCCGCGUAAGGCGGGGUUCGCAGGCACCUGGCAACAGAAGCCUGCACU
rnacentral:tmRNA from 1 species